rnacentral:rRNA from 1 species
UACGUAGGGUGCGAGCGUUAAUCGGAAUUACUGGGCGUAAAGUGUGCGCAGGUGGCCGCGCAAGUCGAGUGUGAAAUCCCCGAGCUUAACUUGGGAAUUGCGCUCGAAACUACGUGGCUCGAGUGUGGCAGAGGAAGGUGGAAUUCCACGUGUAGCGGUGAAAUGCGUAGAGAUGUGGAGGAACGCCGAUGGCGAAGGCAGCCUUCUGGGCCAACACUGACGCUCAUGCACGAAAGCGUGGGGAGCAAACAGG